UGGCCUGUUUUAGUCUGUUGGCCAUGCUCAGUUUCAGCUCUUCCAGAUGCCUCUGAUUGUCCUCCCCCUCACAUCUGCAACCAUACCAUGGAACAGUCAUCUGGCACUGAAACCAUAGGAGUGGAAGUAAUGAGCUCCCUUCCAAGGGACUUGGCCUCUCUGAAGCAAGCUGCUGACUUGACUGUGCUAAGUCAGAAGAGAGCGACAAGAUGGCGGCGGGAAAACACUGUGUCUUGAGGAGCAGGACAGCACUGUUGGCACAGCGACCAGGAGACUGAACUCAGGGACCUAAAACACCAGCGUUUGUGAUUGCCAGCUAUACGAGAAAGGAUUCACCGAUUCUUCAGAUCUUCCAGCUGAGAGAUCCCAUCUAAAAGAAACAAGCUCAGGACCAACAAAAAUUAUGCACGUUUUCAUCCAGUGAUGAAGAGAAGAUUAACCCAAUUACAGUCUGUGGCAGAGUGGUACUGCUUUGAUCCUACGGUACAGGGUAGCAUUGCACGAUGGAGGAGAUUUGAAGAAGUAUGAGAGGGAAAGGAUGGAAUGUAUAAGGGAAGGAUGUUAACUUUAAAAAGCUGAGUAUAUGGGCUGGAGAGAUGACUCGGCAGGUAAGUACACUGGCUGCAUUUCCAGAGGAGCUGGGUUUAAUUUCUCAUCCAUAUAAUGGCUCACUACCAUCUGUAACUCUGGUCCCAGGGUAUCCAAC